CUACAGCAUUUGAGUAAUCAUCUUGGAAUAUUUCCCAACAGGAGGGUACAACACCUUGAACCUAUAUGCUGAGGAUGAAUUACAUCAUUCUGCACAAGCUGGGGAGGUGGCAAAAGAAUUACAAAUUAUGCUCCGGUAAAAUAUAUGCUGGAUGAUCAUAAUAAUCUUGUAGUUUCCUCUUUCACUUUUUUGACGUUUUAUUGCUUUGUAAAAGAUUUUAUUGCAUUAUCUUUGGUACAAUCAACGAGUUUUGUAGGUUCUGAAAUCGUUAAACAGAGCAAGGAACAGAGGGUUCUCUUAUGCCUUGUACCUUGAUUCGAUGAAUAAGCGAUAUAUUGAAGAGUUCUUUUCUUGUAAUGUCUUCAUUUUGAAGGUAUUCAACUAAUCACAUUUUGCACUGAUUAAUACGAUAUAUUUCAUCAAGGAAACUGCGGUUUAUUUUCUUAAAUUACUUGGUGGUCUUACUCAGAUUUACAAGUAAUUACUAAAAUCAUAUAAUUCAUAGACUUGUAUGGGAAAAUGUUCUUUCUACACCAACAACCAAUGGGUUAAGUUUCAAUGAGCGAAACUAAAGGAAUUUUACUGCAUAUGUUCCAAAAUCUUUUUUUUUCCCCAGUUUGCUAUCCUUUGUGCAUUCGAACUUUCAAUCAAUUCGUAGUUAUCUUCCUAGAUUAGAGCUCAAAGAAUUUUUCUCAAAUGUGUCAGGUUGAAGAAUGUCCUAUUCAAUUUGAAGAAUUACUUGAUGCUGACGAAGUUUUCUGCACAGGUUAUGUUACUCUUAACAUCUUUCUUAAAUAGAGUUUGAAGCACAUCCCUUAAUACGUAACAUCUUUUCCUGGUGUAGGUGCAACCUGGAGGACUAUAAGCAGGAUCAAUGAUUGUCAUCUUCGGGUUGGAAGCAAUAGGAUUAGUUGUGUGAUCUUCCACCUGAUAGAAUAGAAGGAUUUGUUGCAUAUCUAAUUCAUGAUGAUGAAUAGUUAUAUUUUUUUAGGUGCAUAAUAAUAGAAAGAGCAUGCUUGCUUUGCUCUUUUAAAUUUAGAUGUAAUGAUACUUUGUAAAUGGUUUUUAUUUUUGUUUUGAUGAAAUAUUUUUAAUUCAAUUUUAUAUUGAUUGAUACUA
rnacentral:lncRNA from 1 species